CGGGGUGUAGCUCAGAUAGGCAGAGCGCGCGCAUGGGGUGCGUGAGGUCGCCGGGGCGGAACCGGCCACCCCGA
rnacentral:tRNA from 1 species